CAAAAACCUCUCCAGAAAGUGAUCUGUGGUAAAUAUGUUGCCCAUUUUUAAAUUUCAAACUUUCAAUGCUCCCCUCACCCUGCUCAUAAGAAGCAUUCGGUUAAGACAGUGCGUCCCAAAGUCAGAGGCCGUGCUCCGUGUCACUCCAGCCCAGCAUGCUGAGUGUCCCUUCUUCCUGCUGAGCGAGCCCUGCUUUUGCCUGGGAUCCUCACUUGCUGGUUCUCAGAGGCACCAGCACCAGCCCACAUGUCCCUCCAGGUGGCACCCUUGACCUUUGCUGCCCGCUGAGUCGGAAGGCCAUUGAUGGCACUGAGGGAAAGUGGUGGCCUGGUGCCUGCCGCAGUCUGGCUGGGCACAAAUCACGAGCCACUGAAGCAGGAACAAACUUUAUUUUUGAACUGCAGGAAAACACUUCACACAGCUCCCGGGGAAUCCUCCCAAACGCCACGAGGCUCAUCCAGGAACCCCCAUCCGGAAAUAUCUCUCCCGGAAAUCCCUCCUCCUGCACUUCCCCAACCAAUGGGAACUCUCGGGGAAUCCCCGGAAAUCCCCACGGAGAACUCCAAAUAGUGCGAGAACUCAAAAGUUGCGGCAGAGGCGGAUAGUAAUGCCUUGCCUGUCAAUCAAUACUGUUGGCAAAAUGCCAGGGGCCAUACAGACUCGGCCGUGGCUCUCAGCAGGUGCCCAU
rnacentral:lncRNA from 1 species